UGACCUCGUGAUCUGCCCACCUCGGCCUCCCAAAGUGCUGGGAUUACAGGCGGAAGCCACUGCGCUGGGCCUAUCUCCCUCUUAAAAGGGCCGUUGGGAUUAUUUUAAGUCCACCUGGAGAGCCCAGGAUGCUCUUCUCAUCUCAAAGUCCUUAAUCACAGCAAUGAUAUCUCUUUUGCUGUAUUUUCUAUAUUCAUAGUUUCAGAGAAUAAAAACGUGGACAUCUUUUGAGGUGGGGAAGCAUUAUGCUGUCUACCAUAGAUCAAAGCAAUUAGGCUGAAUGAAAAAAAGCCAUCCUCAAAUGUUAUCUAGUCAUGACUCCAUUUAUACAGCAAAAUACCUGUUUGUUAACAAAAAAGACAAAACUCAAAAAUGUAGCUCAGAUCUGCUAAAUGGAUUUUAGGUUUAGGCAAAUUCAACCACCUUGCCACAGGUAAUCCCAGCAAGAAGUUGCAGAUACAAACUUGAGCUUUCUGCAGUCAGAUUCAUUCCCCAGAGAAAGGCAGGAGAAACUGAGCUCCACAUUCCAAGGUUUUCCAAUCUGCUAAUUACUCCACCUCUCAAGAUACAUUAGUGCGUUAUGCCAACUGGGUGCCCCUUGCAUGAAAAGAAAUAAAAGAUAUAGGGAAGAACUAUUCCUUUUAACAAUUGUAUUGUUUAAUUUUGUUUAGGCUUAGCAGUGCAUGAGACUCUUAUACUUUUUGAAGGUUGUACAUAUUUCACAAUAAAAUUAAAAUUCGAAAUAAUCAAGAGAAGGCCCUAAGACUGUAAGAAGUACGUUCAUUGUGGAGGGCUUUCAUGACAAUUCUAAAUUUGGGACUUUUGAGGGUAUAAAAUGGAAAGCAAUUGAGACUUUGUAAUCGAGGAAGUAACAAGUUCAGAGCUGCAUUGGGAGAUGACUGCAAUGACUGUAUAAGAUAAGGAUGAAUACCGAGGGUGUAUAACAAGAUCAGCGAGAAGAGGAUUGCCAUUGUUCCACCUGGACCAGAGCCUAGCGGGAGAAAAACAAGCAGGGCCAGGGUGCAACAGCGGCUGGACAGGGAGAAAGCAGCAGUCAAGGAGCAUUCAGGGCACAAGGACUGUCCGUAAGUGGAAGCAUCUACUGAGGCUUAGACGAAUAUAACCAUGAAUAUCAAUAAGAUCCUUGAUCCUUCUCAGCAUAGAAAGUUCAAUCUACAGCUGGAGUGGGAGACAGAGGGAUCCAGACUGACCAAACCAUCAUCUUCAACACGUGGCUCUGGGGGUUAUCCUGGGAUCCUGGGAGACAACAUCCAGCUGACACUAAGUAAGAGACCACAGGAUUGCACAGGUGGUUUUUUGUUUUUUGUUGUUGUUGUUUUUUAACAUGACUGAGGCAUACAAGUGGUAAACAUCAAUUCUGCCCAUAUUUUAUUGACCAGAAUUUAGUCAUGAGGCCUUACCUAGAUG
rnacentral:lncRNA from 1 species